UGACCAAGAAUGCCAAUGGUAUCCUGUGGGGCAUUGGGAAGAACAUUGCCAGAAGGUGGAGGGAGGUGAUCCUAUCCCUCUACUCAACCCUGGCUAGGCCACAUCUGGAGUUCUGUGUCCAGUUCCAGACUCCUCAGGACAAGAGAGACAUGGAGUUCCUGGAGCAGGUCCAGAAAGGCAACAAAGCUGACUAAGGGACUUGAGCAUCUCUCUUAUGAAGAAAGGCUGCAAGAACUGGGCCUGAUCAGCCUCAAGAACAGAUGAUUGAGACUGAACACCACCAAUGUCUGCAUGCUGUUAAGAAUGAUGUUACAGAAGGAUCCCAGUAUUGCUGUAGCAGUCCUUAAGAGCUUCUCAGCAGACUGAAUGCAUGGACUCAUGCUGCUUUUGUUGAAGGAGAAUUGAGUUGUUAACACUCCAGAUUUUCUUCUGGUUUUCUUCUUUCUAUGUUUUGCAGCUCUGAAAAAUACCUUGUGGAUGGUGUCAUUCAUUGUGCUGCUUGCUGUCAUCGAGCUUGUCAUGUCUAGCCUCCCAGCAGCCAGACCUGGUUGGGACACACUUUUGUCCCAUUACCGGGAUU